UAAAAGCACCAGGGGUGCCUGUAUCUGCUUCAAGCUCAGCCAUUUGGUUGGGUAUGGGCAGGGCCGGCUGAGAAAGUCCCUUUGAACCUGAACAGGAUAAUGCCUGCGUAGGGAGUGUGCGUUUUUUUUUUC